CCUACGGGAGGCUGCAGUGGGGAAUAUUGGACAAUGGGGGGAACCCUGAUCCAGCCAUGCCGCGUGUGUGAAGAAGGCCCUCGGGUUGUAAAGCACUUUCAGUGAGGAAGAACGCCUGGUGGUUAAUACCCAUCAGGAAAGACAUCACUCACAGAAGAAGCACCGGCUAACUCCGUGCCAGCAGCCGCGGUAAUACGGAGGGUGCGAGCGUUAAUCGGAAUUACUGGGCGUAAAGCGCGCGUAGGUGGCUUGAUAAGCCGGUUGUGAAAGCCCCGGGCUCAACCUGGGAACGGCAUCCAGAACUGUCAAGCUAGAGUGCAGGAGAGGAAGGUAGAAUUCCCGGUGUAGCGGUGAAAUGCGUAGAGAUCGGGAGGAAUACCAGUGGCGAAGGCGGCCUUCUGGACUGACACUGACACUGAGGUGCGAAAGCGUGGGUAGCAAACAGGAUUAGAUACCCUGGUAGUC
rnacentral:rRNA from 1 species